rnacentral:rRNA from 1 species
GACGAACGCUGGCGGCGUGCUUAACACAUGCAAGUCGAACGGAAAGGCCCUGCUUUUGUGGGGUGCUCGAGUGGCGAACGGGUGAGUAACACGUGAGUAACCUGCUCUUGACUUUGGGAUAACUUCAGGAAACUGGGGCUAAUACCGGAUAGGAGCUCCUGCUGCAUGGUGGGGGUUGGAAAGUUUCGGCGGUUGGGGAUGGACUCGCGGCUUAUCAGCUUGUUGGUGGGGUAGUGGCUUACCAAGGCUUUGACGGGUAGCCGGCCUGAGAGGGUGACCGGGCACAUUGGGACUGAGGUACGGCGCAGACUGCUACGGGAGGCAGCAGUGGGGAAUAUUGCACAAUGGGCGGGAGCCUGAUGCGGCAGCGCCGCGUGCGGGAUGACGGCCUUCGGGUUGUGAACCGCUGUCGCCUGUGACGAAGCGUGAGUGACGGUAAUGGGUGAAGAAGCACCGGCUAACUACGUG